rnacentral:lncRNA from 1 species
GUGGAUUUGAAUAUAGGUUAAUAGAAAUGUCCCAAAAUGAAAUGCAAAGAAAAACCAUAGGAAGAAACAACAGAACGUCCAAAAACUAGGAUCAUUUCAAAAGAUACAGUGUACAUGUAUAUGGAAAAAAUGUACAUUUGAAGAGGAAAAAAUAUAUAUUUGAAUUAAUGACUGAGACCUUUGACACCAAAUCACAGAUCGGGGAAGCUGAGAGAACACCAGGCAUAAUAAAUUUUUUUAAAAAAUAACAUCUAGGGGGCUGGGGUUGUGGCUUUUUAUCAAGAGAAGAACUUAUCUUUUAUCAAGAGGAGAACUGAGACAGAGUUUACUUUGUCCAAUGUCACACAACCAGGAAAAAGUGAAACUAGAAUUCUCACCAUUAUCUUUGUGAUCCUAAAACCUGUGCCUGUGUGAUGGAUACUGCUGCCAUUUGGAUUGCAAAGUUUGGCCAAAGCCCAUGCCAGAACAUUCACCCCAAUAUGUGGUGCUUGGGGACUCUGGUGUGCCAGGGUCUCUGACUUGCUGGAUAUCAGUGUCCCAAGUGCUCGCACAGUUGCCUUGAUUCCAGCAUUUUUGAGGAGGCCAAUAUGAGCAAAGACUCAUUAGCAUCAGCCAAAGGAAAAUUUAAAAUUUUAGAAUUUGGUUACAAAACUGGGAUGGCCAUCCUUGUUCAGCAGAGGUAAACACUGCAGCUUUGUCAUUACUUAGCUUUCUCAGUACAUUUCCUUUCCUUUCUAGCUAGAUUACUUUAAUCCAGUUGUUUUCAUGUUCAGUAAAUCCAAACCAUGUUUAACCGGUUUAUUCAUUGGGGUGUCUCUGAGGUGAAGAAAGUUUUGUCCUUUCAACUACACUGGGGAUUUGCUGUCUUCAUUCUGCAAUGGGAUUUUCCUGGACCUGUAAUCUGAACACUUUGACCUGUGGGAUUUUUUUUCCCCCCUCUAGGAGCAAAUGUGAGACUUGACCCUUUGUGUGCUGUGGAGCAGAAACAAUACCCUUCUUCUCCCCUUGAGGACAGUAGUAAUUGAUGGCAGGAAUGUUAAUCAUUUGGCUGUGGCUUCUUCUCAGCCUUGCUGUAGCCAACUCCCUGCUUGCCUAUGCUACCUCAUUGAAAACAGACCUAUCAUUUUGUGACAGCAUUCUUGAGGUUUUGCUCAAGAGAGUUGACAGUCUGACAAACUGAAGAGUGAGUUGGUCUCAGUAGUCUUCAAUUGGUGAAACCAUUGGUCCUUGUAGACAUUACUGGGAGGAUAAAUUGGUACAACCUCCAUGGGGCUGGGGUGGGGGGCAAUUUGGCAGUAAUUAUCAAAGCUAUAAGCUGAGGGUUGGGGUUGUAGUCAGUAGGAGAGCACUUGUCUAGCACCUGUGAGACACUGGGUUCAAAUCUCAGCACCACAUAAAAAUAAAUAAAUGUGUUGUGUCC